rnacentral:rRNA from 1 species
GACGAACGCUGGCGGCGUGCUUAACACAUGCAAGUCGAACGGAAAGGCCCUGCUUUUGUGGGGUGCUCGAGUGGCGAACGGGUGAGUAACACGUGAGUAACCUGCCCUUGACUUUGGGAUAACUUCAGGAAACUGGGGCUAAUACCGGAUAGGAGCUCCUGCUGCAUGGUGGGGGUUGGAAAGUUUCGGCGGUUGGGGAUGGACUCGCGGCUUAUCAGCUUGUUGGGGGGGUAGUGGCUGACCAAGGCUUUGACGGGGAGCCGGCCUGGGAGGGUGACCGGCCACAUUGGGACUGAGAUGCGGCCCAGACUCCUACGGGAGGCAGCAGUGGGGAAUAUUGCACAAUGGGCGGAAGCCUGAUGCAGCAACGCCGCGUGCGGGAUGACGGCCUUCGGGUUGUAUACCGCUUUCGCCUGUGACGAAGCGUGAGUGACGGUAAUGGGUAAAGAAGCCCCGGCUAACUACGUG